rnacentral:rRNA from 1 species
ACUCAAAUGAAUUGACGGGGGCCCGCACAAGCAGCGGAGCGUGUGGAUUAAUUCGAUGCAACGCGAAGAACCUUACCCAGGCUUGACAUGCACGUGGUAGGACCCCGAAAGGGAACCGACCCGCAAGGGAGCGUGCACAGGUGCUGCAUGGCUGUCGUCAGCUCGUGCCGUGAGGUGUUGGGUUAAGUCCCGCAACGAGCGCAACCCCCGUCCCCAGUUGCCGUUUCUGGGGAGACUGCCGGGCGAACCCCGGAGGAAGGUGGGGAUGACGUCAAGUCCGCAUGGCCCCUACGUCUGGGGCCUCACACACGCUACAAUGGCCGGUACAGCGGGAUGCCACGGCGUGAGCCGCAGCCAAUCCCCCAAACCCGGCCUCAGUCCGGAUUGCAGGCUGCAACCCGCCUGCAUGAAGUCGGAGUUGCUAGUAACCGCGCGUCAGCAUAGUGCGGUGAAUGCGUUCCCGGGCCUUGUACACACCGCCCGU